AAUACACACAGAAGCACAUCAUCAACCCCGCACACAACCAAACCCACCCCAAGAUCUUCACUCUGCACUUACAUAUAAAUAUCCAAACGUCCUUCAGCUUGCGCAUUGGUCAGAAUGUCUACGAGGAUCCUGUCCAUCGCUCUCCUCCUGUUGUCAGUGUGUCUGUGCUUCCAGGCCUCUGCAGGCCACCGGCGCAUGGCUGGCAGACCUCCUCCAUGCUGCACGAAGUUCACCACUGAAAAUAUCACCAAUGCCGUGACUGGGAACACAUAUAAAAAGCAAUCUGCUUAUGGUCCCUGUGUGAAGGCUAUAAUUUUGACCACACACAGAGGACUGGUCUGUGUUGAUCCCGAGAAUGAAUGGGUGAAGACAAUCACCGCCAAUAUGACAGCGCUGUGAAGCAUCGCCGCCUCUCUGAUGGAAACAUUUUCCUUUUGCUGUUUGAAAACCUGCAACUUCACUCACAUAUCGUGCCGCAACAAUCCCCCUGAAUGUUCAUUUCUCAAUGCUUGCAACUGAGCUCAAAUAUAUGUUUAAAUCAACAACAAGAUAUUUUGCUGAUCAUGGCCUUCUUAGAGGUCAAUAAAGAAGAAGAGAUCAUUACGACAGCAAAGUUUAUAAGUUUAAAAGUUUCGGAGGGGUUUUUAAUUUCUCACUGUGGGUUUCAGUUGAGCAAAGACUCAAUGAAACGAGGAUAAAACUGAAAUUUGAUGCUUACUGUGAUGAAUCUCAUCCUGCUCUGAGGAAGUGUUUUUUUAUUGAGCAAUUAACUUCUUUAGAGUCUGAAAAACAAAACCUUGAUAUCAGCAACUACACUGACCUGCAUGAGCAACAGUAGAGGAGAACAGUGACCUUAAAUAUUUCAGUAUGAACCAGUGGGCCACAGAUCGGGAAGGGGAGUCAGAUAGUAUUGAGAGAACUUAGUCCGUAAGUUGGUUUUGUACUUUUAAUGGGAUUAUGCAAAAAUAUUAAAUGUCACCAGUUUUAUCUUGUAAAUGAGCUUUUUUGAUGUGGGUCUCUGUAACAGCACUGCUAAAGCAUGUAAGGAUAACCAGAAAAUGUUUAUCUCUCAACAUCUUUCUCUGUAAACUAUUAUGUCCUGUUGCUCUAUCAAUAAAUGAGACAGACUUGUUCUCUGCACUGAUACAAUGA